AGAGUUUGAUCCUGGCUCAGGACGAACGCUGGCGGCGUGCCUAAUACAUGCAAGUAGAACGCUGAAGGAGGAGCUUGCUUCUCUGGAUGAGUUGCGAACGGGUGAGUAACGCGUAGGUAACCUGCCUGGUAGCGGGGGAUAACUAUUGGAAACGAUAGCUAAUACCGCAUAAGAGUGGAUGUUGCAUGACAUUUGCUUAAAAGGUGCACUUGCAUCACUACCAGAUGGACCUGCGUUGUAUUAGCUAGUUGGUGGGGUAACGGCUCACCAAGGCGACGAUACAUAGCCGACCUGAGAGGGUGAUCGGCCACACUGGGACUGAGACACGGCCCAGAGUCCUACGGGAGGCAGCAGUAGGGAAUCUUCGGCAAUGGACGAGAAGUCUGACCGAGCAACGCCGCGUGAGUGAAGAAGGUUUUCGGAUCGUAAAGCUCUGUUGUAAGAGAAGAAUGAGUGUGAGAGUGGAAAGUUCACACUGUGACGGUAUCUUACCAGAAAGGGACGGCUAACUACGUGCCAGCAGCCGCGGUAAUACGUAGGUCCCGAGCGUUGUCCGGAUUUAUUGGGCGUAAAGCGAGCGCAGGCGGUUAGAUAAGUCUGAAGUUAAAGGCUGUGGCUUAACCAUAGUAGGCUUUGGAAACUGUUUAACUUGAGUGCAAGAGGGGAGAGUGGAAUUCCAUGUGUAGCGGUGAAAUGCGUAGAUAUAUGGAGGAACACCGGUGGCGAAAGCGGCUCUCUGGCUUGUAACUGACGCUGAGGCUCAAAGCGGGGGGGGCAAACAGGAUUAGAUACCCUUGUAGUCCACGCUGUAAACGAUGAGUGCUAGGUGUUAGACCCUUUCCGGGGUUUAGUGCCGUAGCUAACGCAUUAAGCACUCCGCCUGGGGAGUACGACCGCAAGGUUGAAACUCAAAGGAAUUGACGGGGGCCCGCACAAGCGGUGGAGCAUGUGGUUUAAUUCGAAGCAACGCGAAGAACCUUACCAGGUCUUGACAUCCCUCUGACCGCUCUAGAGAUAGAGCUUUCCUUCGGGACAGAGGUGACAGGUGGUGCAUGGUUGUCGUCAGCUCUUGUCGUGAGAUGUUGGGUUAAGUCCCGCAACGAGCGCAACCCCUAUUGGUAGUUGCCAUCAUUUAGUUGGGCACUCUAGCGAGACUGCCGGUAAUAAACCGGAGGAAGGUGGGGAUGACGUCAAAUCAUCAUGCCCCUUAUGACCUGGGCUACACACGUGCUACAAUGGCUGGUACAACGAGUCGCAAGCCGGUGACGGCAAGCUAAUCUCUUAAAGCCAGUCUCAGUUCGGAUUGUAGGCUGCAACUCGCCUACAUGAAGUCGGAAUCGCUAGUAAUCGCGGAUCAGCACGCCGCGGUGAAUACGUUCCCGGGCCUUGUACACACCGCCCGUCACACCACGAGAGCUUGUAACACCCGAAGUCGGUGAGGUAACCGUAAGGAGCCAGCCGCCUAAGGUGGGAUAGAUGAUUGGGGUGAAGUCGUAACAAGGUAGCCGUAUCGGAAGGUGCGGCUGGAUCACCU
rnacentral:rRNA from 1 species